AAUUUACAAGGCAGCAGGA
rnacentral:misc_RNA from 1 species